rnacentral:rRNA from 1 species
UACGAAGGGGGCUAGCGUUGCUCGGAAUCACUGGGCGUAAAGGGCGCGUAGGCGGCCAUUCAAGUCAGAGGUGAAAGCCCAGGGCUUAACCCUGGAAUUGCCUUUUGAUACUGUUUGGCUUGAGACCGGAAGAGGUAAGUGGAACUGCGAGUGUAGAGGUGAAAUUCGUAGAUAUUCGCAAGAACACCAGUGGCGAAGGCGGCUUACUGGUCCGGUUCUGACGCUGAGGCGCGAAAGCGUGGGGAGCAAACAGG